rnacentral:tRNA from 1 species
CGGGGUGUAGUAUAGUGGUAGUACGAGUGGUUUGGGACCAUUUAGUCUGAGUUCGAUUCUCAGCACCCCGACAA